rnacentral:rRNA from 1 species
CCUACGGGGGGCUGCAGUAGGGAAUCUUUCACAAUGGGCGAAAGCCUGAUGGAGCAACGCCGCGUGCAGGAUGAAGGCCUUCGGGUUGUAAACUGCUUUUAUAAGCGAGAAAUAUGAUGGUAACUUAUGAAUAAGGAUCGGCUAACUACGUGCCAGCAGCCGCGGUCAUACGUAGGAUCCGAGCAUUAUCCGGAGUGACUGGGUGUAAAGAGUUGCGUAGGUGGCAUAAUAAGUAGCUAGUGAAAUCUGGUGGCUCAACCAUUCAGCCUAUUAGCUAAACUGUUAAGCUCGAGACCGUUAGGGGUAACUGGAAGUUCUAGUGUAGGAGUGAAAUCCGUAGAUAUUAGAAGGAACACCAAUAGCGUAGGCAGGUUGCUGGGACGGUUCUGACACUAAGGCACGAAAGCGUAGGGAGCAAACGGGAUUAGAUACCCCUGUAGUC